AGGUAUGUCAUUGAUGACGAAUAUAUCAGCUCUUCAGGUGCAAAGUUUCCAGUCAAAUGGUCAUCUCCCGAAGUCUUCCAUUUCAAAAAAUACAGCAGCAAAUCAGAUGUCUGGUCAUUUGGUGUACUGAUGUGGGAAGUUUUCACAGAAGGCAAAAUGCCUUUUGAAAGUAAGUCAAAUUCUGAAGUCGUCCGUGAGAUUUCUCAGGGUAACCGACUUUAUCGACCCCAUUUGGCAUCACAUACCCUGUACAAGGUCAUGUACAGCUGCUGGCAUGAGAAACCUGAAGGACGUCCUACUUUUGCAGAGUUAACAGAGACCCUCACAGAUAUAACAGAGAUGGGAUAAUUGGGGAUUUUACAUUAAUGUAUUUGCUGAAAGCUUAGCAUUAAGCAUAUCAGUAACAUAGCUGAUACAAAAAAAACCCCUCAGCCGUUUACAGCA